rnacentral:rRNA from 1 species
CCUACGGGUGGCAGCAGUGGGGGAUAUUGCACAAUGGGGGGAACCCUGAUGCAGCGACGCCGCGUGGGUGAAGGAGCGUUUCGGCGCGUAAAGCCCUAUCGGCAGGGAAGAAGAUGACGGUACCUGACCAAGAAGCACCGGCUAACUACGUGCCAGAAGCCGCGGUAAUACGUAGGAGGCAAGCGUUAUCCGGAUUUACUGGGUGUAAAGGGGGCGCAGACGGCUUGGCAAGCCAGGAGUGAAAGCUCGAGGCCCAACCCCGGGAUUGCAAUUGAAACUGGGAGGCUGGAGUACAGGUGGGGGAGGCGGAAUUCGUGGUGUAGCGGUGAAAUGCUUAGAUAUGACGAGGAACCCCGAUGGCGAGGGCAGCCUACUAAACUGUGACUGACAUUGAGGCCCGAAAGUGUGGGUAUAAAACAGGAUUAGAUACCCCGGUAGUC